rnacentral:ncRNA from 1 species
AGAGUUUGAUCUGGCUCAGAAGAAACGCUAGCUAUAUGCUUAACACAUGCAAGUCGAACGUUGUUUCGGGGAGCUGGGCAGAAAGGAAAAGAGCUCCUAAGCGUGAAGGUAGCUUGUCUCGACCCGAAGGUGGGAACCAGUUGAAAACAAAGUGGCAACGGGUGCGUAAUGCGUGGAAUCUGCCGAACAGUUCGGGCAAAAUCCUGAAGAAAGCUAAGAAAGCCUGUUUGAUGAGGCUGCGUAGUAUUAGGUAGUUGGUCCAGGUUAAAGGGGACAGCCAAUGAAUGCUUAGCUGGUCUUUUCGGAUGAUCAGCCACACUGGGACUGAGACCGCCGACUCCGACCACAGUGGGAAUCUUGGAAUGGGGCGAAAGCCCGAUCAGCAAUAUGCGUGAGGAAGAGGGCAAAUGCCGCUUGUAAAGCUCUUCGUCGAGUGCGCGAUCAUGACAGGACUCGAGGAAAGGAAGCCCGGCUAACUCCGUGCCAGCAGCCGCGGUAAGACGGGGGGGGCAAGUUGUUCUUCGGAUGACUGGGCGUAAAGGGCGUAGGCGUGAAUCGGGUGAAAGUGAAAGUCGCCAAAACUGGUGGAAUGCUCUCGAACAUUCACUGAGUGAGACAGAGGAGAGUGGAAUUUCCGUGUGUAGGGGUGAAAUCCCGCAGAUCUACGGAAGGAACGCCAAAAGCGAAGGCAGCUCUCUGGUCCCUACCGACGCUGGGUGCGAAAGCAUGGGAGCGAACGGGAUUAGAUACCCUGGUAUCCAUGCCGUAAACGACGAGUGUUCGCCCUUGGGUCACGUGGAUCAGGGCCCCGCUAACGCGUGAAACACUUCCGCCUGGGGAGUACGUCGCAGACGAAAUCAAAGGAAUUGACGAGGGCCUGCACAAGCGGUGGAGCAUGUGGUUUAAUUCGAUACAACGCGCAAACCUUAAACCAGCCCUUGACAAUAUGAACAAGAAAACCUGUCCUUAAGGAUGGGUACUGACUUUCAUACAGGUGCUGCAUGGCUGUCGUCAGCUCGUGUCGUGAGAUGUUUGUCAAAAAGUCCUAUAACGAGCGGAACCCUCGUUUUGUGUUGCUGAAGACAUGCGCCUUAAGGAGAAAGUUUUGCAAACCAAGUGAGCUGAGGAGCGAGUGACGCGCCCAGCGCUACUAAUUGAGUGCCAGCACGUAGCUGUGCUGUCAGUAAGAAGGGAGCCGGCGCCUUUCGAAUUCGGAAGCACUUUCUAGUGUGCGGCUGUUUUUUGAUUGCAGCUAGCGAGCAAGAAAACGGAUGAUCGCGAACGCGGCUUCCGCGCAGCUCAAUCCCUUGCUUGUUUGCCUUUACUAAUAGAAAGUUUUCCCUCGCUUGUUUAGUAAAGUCCAGUUUUUGGCCUUCCUCUUGCAGGGUGACGACGACGUCGAGUGGCGGCGGAUGGAAAGACUCGGCAUUCAGGCGAGCCGCCGGUGGUGUGGUACGUAGUGGGUUUAGUACCGCCCGCCAAAACAAACGGUCGAACAAACUAAAAGGUGCAUGCCGCACUCACGAGGGACUGCAGUGAUUAUACUAGGAGGAAGGUGGGGAAAUGACGUCAGCUCCGCAUGGCCCCUAUGGGCUGGGCCACACACGUGCUACAAUGGCAAUUACAAUGGGAAGCAAGGCUGUAAGGCGGAGCGAAUCCGGAAAGAUUGCUAGUUCGGAUUGUUCUCUGCACUCCGGAACAUGAAGUUUGGAAUCGCUAGUAAUCGCGGAUCAGCAUGCCGCGGUGAUAUGUACCCGGGCCCUGUACAACGCCGUCACACCUGGGGAAUUGGUUUCGCCCGAAGCAUCGGACCAAUGAUCACCCAUGACUUCUGUGUACCACUAGUGCCCAAAGGCUUUUGGUGGUCUUAUUGGCGGCAUUACACGGUGGGGCUUCGGACUGGGGUGAAUCGUAACAAGGUAGCCGUAGGGGAACCUGUGCUGG